CCACUUCUUUUAAGUUUUGCUCAGUUGAGGAUCUGAGGUUACGAUUUGGAAUAUAAGGUGUCAGACAUUCCGAUAUAUAAGAUGGGGCGAGAUUAUUUAAGGCUUUAUAAACCAUAAGCAGAAUUUUAAAGUCAAUUCUGAAUGACACAGGUAACCAGUGUAGCGACAUCAAAACUGGAGAAAUGUGCUCAGAUUUUCUUUUCCUAGUUAGGAUUCUAGCAGCUGCAUUCUGCACUCGUUGCAAACGAUUUAUGUCUUUUUUGGGUGGUCCUGAGAGGAGUGCGUUACAGUAAUCUAGUCGACUGAAAACAAAAGCGUGAACUCAUUUCUCAGCAUCUUUCAAUGUUAUAAGAGGUCUAACUUUUGUUAUAUUUCUCAAGUGAAAAAAUGCUGUCCUAGUAAUCUGAUUAAUAUGUGAUUUAAAAUUCAGGUCAGAGACAAUA